rnacentral:rRNA from 1 species
GACGUAGGGUCCAAGCGUUGUCCGGAUUUACUGGGCGUAAAGAGCGCGUAGGCGGUCUGUUAAGUGUAGAGUGAAAUCUCCAGGGCUCAACCCGGAAACUGCUCUGCAUACUGGCAGACUGGAGUGAUGCUGAGGUUUGUGGAAUUCCUGGUGUAACGGUGAAAUGUGUUGAUAUCAGGAGGAACACCCAUGGCGAAGGCAGCAAACUGGGCAUUAACUGACGCUGAGGCGCGAAAGCGUGGGUAGCAAACGGG